rnacentral:lncRNA from 1 species
UUGACCCACCUUGCCUUCUUCCUUCUGCGGCACAGUUUAAAGUAAUCUUUCAUCCAUUGGUACAGGGAUUGCUGGCUAUUCCUGACAAGUGGUGACCCCGCUGUGAUCAUCUUGCCACAGACCACUGAAUGGACCACCUGAAAAUGAAAAGUUUGGGCACAGAGUACAGCAAGGUAGAAAGCACUGAAUUAGGAAUUCCAGGAGCUGAGUUGUAGACCCCCUUCUUCAUUUGUUUCCCUGCCUUGGGAUCUAGGUAAGCAGUGCAACUUCUGUCACCUUGUAAAAGCAGAGAAAAUAAUAACUGCCUUGCU